UGCAAAAUUAUUUAUGCAAGAUGUUCCUGACUACAUAAGGUAAGUGUAUUGGGAGCAUAUUGCAUCCAUAGUGUUUUUAU
rnacentral:miRNA from 1 species